rnacentral:rRNA from 1 species
UACAGAGGGUGCGAGCGUUGUCCGGAAUUAUUGGGCGUAAAGGGUGCGUAGGCGGCGCGGCAAGCGUGCGGUGAAAGCCCGGGGCUCAACCCCGGGUCGGCCGUGCGAACUGCCGGGCUCGAGCACUGUAGGGGCAGGCGGAAUUCCGGGUGUAGCGGUGGAAUGCGUAGAGAUCCGGAAGAACACCGGUGGCGAAGGCGGCCUGCUGGGCAGUGGCUGACGCUGAGGCGCGACAGCGUGGGGAGCAAACAGG